rnacentral:rRNA from 1 species
ACAAUGCGAAGCGAAGCAGUGAUGUGAAGCGAAUCGCACCAAAGCCGGUCCCAGUUCGGAUAAGAGGCUGAAACUCGCCUCUUUGAAGUCGGAACCGCUAGUAAUCGCAGAUCAGCAUGUUGCGGUGAAUACGUUCCCGGGUCUUGUACACACCGCCCGUCAAACCAUGAGAGUCACCAACACCCGAAGUCCGCUUUGGCGGCCUAAGGUGGGGGAGAUGAUUGGGGUUAAGUCGUAACAAGGUACC